GAACAAUAUAAUUAAUGAUGAAAGUCAAGGCUUAGAUAACUAAUGAACCAGAAAUCAUAGUUUUUAAAUAAAAUCAAGAGAAUCCUAUACUGUGAGAGUAAUAUUUUAUCUUAGCAUGCUUUCUUUUUCUCUUCUUUUCAGCUAUAGCUGAACCACUAAUAACUCCUUAUCUUUGUAUUGAUCCCUAGCAUUUUUCUGAAGACAGUCAUACUGUGUAACCCAGGGUAACCUCAAACCGGUGAACAUGAUCCCACACUAUCUGCCUCCCUCCCUAGUGCUGGAUCACGGGAUAUGCUAUUCAUCAAGGCCAGCUUGACCUCCAACAUCUGAGCAGCUUGCUACCCCCUGUUGAUCCUCCCACAUGCAUUAACUCAUACAGGGCGCAGCUCUGAGAAAAGCAGGCAUCUGUCACCCUGCACUCUGCAGGUGGAAAAUGAGGCACAGGCAGACUUUAUGUCUAUCAAAGGGAACAUGCAUGAGCUUGAGAAGGAGAUUCAGCCUCAGCCUGCCUCCUGGCCCAUUUCCCUUCUGGGUUGGAAAUGCUUCUUCCCUCUUAGAAUAGGUCAGUUUGGAAAUGAGAAUAAUGUGCUCUGACCUAAUGAGAUAUUAGCUACCCAUCAGGUUGCUUACUAUGGAAAUAGAACCAUUGUUAUAUAUCAAAAUUUAUUAGCAACCCACCAGAGUUUUAAACAAGUGCAGAUAACAGUGUCAUCUUCCACCACCAAGACACCAGGACAUGGAAGUUUUGAAACCAGGUGUUGAAACUUUUCUUCCUCGAUGCUGUCACACUCAUCAGAAAUCUGUGAGAGUCUCAUCUGUGGUUCCCAGUGCUCCUGGAAACAUGUAUCUGUUUAAUUCAUACUGUGAAAUUCCUUGUUUAGCCAAAUCUUCUGAUGCAGCUAAGAAAGUUCCUCACUGAGCUGGUCUCACGCUCAUUACCAGCAUGGGAAUUAUCAGAAGUGCCCAUGGGAGCUAGGAGGGAAAGGUUCUUCCACAUGCAACCAUACUCAACAUUUUAUAACAUACCACUCCUAAGGGGUUGUGUGCUCUGCUUCAGGUUCUCCUGAAAAACUCCUCAUCUGGCACUAGGCUGCUCCUAUACAUCAUUUUUCUCUCUCAUUCCCACUGUUCCCCAAAUCUAGCUUUCCUUGCCCCAACAUCUUCUUUUGCCUUUCUGUCCACAAGCACACUCUACCCACAUGAAAUAGAGAUGUUCUCCAGAAAGCAGGCACUGAGAAGUCAUGUACCAUGCAGAUGGUACUUUAUGUAGGGAAAUGGUGAUGCUGUAGGCCAAGACGUAUGGUCUCAUAUCAUUAUGGAUAAAGGCCCUUACUAUAAACAAAACACAAUUCUGACAUGACUUUUUGGGUUGAUGAUUUCAACCACUGAACACACCUGUGGGGGGAAACUGUGAAGCCAAGUGAAGGUCCAAAAUGUGUUAUAUAGAUGAGUCAUAAGCCACAAACACAGACUCUCCUGUACCAGAAUUCUGGCUCUUCCUAAAAUCAGUGAAAUGAAGUGGUUCUCAGAAACUGUGUUACGUGUAGUAUUUUUCUGAUUGUGUGAAAUGAUUUAAUAGAAUGAUAGGGAAGCAAGGUAUUUUUUCAGGCUGAACAUAAACACUGCUGCAGUAUUUACCCAAAUUAUUUUUUUUCUCACAAGACAAGCAAUUUGUAACUAGUCUGGGUUCAAUGUUUGACCUUUCUCACACUACAUUAAUUUCAUGGCCACAAAUUUGAUUCUCCAUCUUCAGUCUUGAAUCUGUUUUCUAGGCAGGAGAGUGGGAGAAUCACAAGAGGAAAAAGGGUGUCCCUUACUGCAAGGAAACCGGAUUUUCCCAGAGAUGUGCCAUUUGGAACUUCUGCUUGCAUCCCAUUGGUGGAAAUAGUAUCCAGCAACCCCCCACAUUGCAAGCAAAGCAAGAGGAACUGAGGUUUCUACUUGGAGAGAAAAAGAAAACAAUGAGAAUCUGAGAAGAUAAACACCAAUCUCUGCUAUAUGCAUUAGAGAACAGAAGAGCUUAAGGGAUUUAUCUUAAAUGAUCUUUGUGUGUAUGUGCAUGGUGUAUAUAUGUGCCCCCCCCCCCGUGUGUGUGUGUGUGUGUGUGGUGUUUACACAUGCAAGAUUUGGGUAUGUGGGUAUAGGUACGCAUGUGGUAUACAAGUGUGAUCAAAGGCAACCUCUGUCUGGUCCUUAGGUCCUUGCUUUCAGCCUUGUUUGAGACAAGUUCCCUUCCCUCUUCACCGUUACACCACCAGGCUAGCUAGCCCAAGAACUUCCAGUGAUUAUCCUGUCUUUUCCUCCUACCUCACAAGAAUACUGGGCCCAUUACACCCUGUGGUAUAUACAUCCUAGGGAUUUCAACUGAGGCCCUCAUGUUUGCACAGCCAUCUCCCUGCCAAACUGCUCCCCAGCCUAAGCUUAAGGAAUUCUUGGGCUCUGGCCCCACAAUGACCAGUUUCAAUUUAUAUUGCUCCAUAACAAACCACACUAAAACUUGAUGGCUUACAACAGUAAUUUAUUACAUUUGAUGACUCUGUCAGAAACUUGGGAUGGCUUGGCUGAGCAGACAGAUACACAAGUGAGUCGUCUGGGGCCUUUCCUUCAGCUGCCCCUGGGCUGAACGGGAAGGUCUAAGAUGGCCAUUUGUCUAAUGCUUUGUUGCUCCCUACAAGACAUGGAUGUUAAGACCUGAACUUAGUUCUUUGGAAGAUCAUUAUUCACUCUAAACCUUCAGCCAUCUCUCCAGCCCUGAGGGGUGCUUAUACAGUGAUACUUCCUCCAUAGCAUACUGGCUAUGUGUGUGUGAGUGCAUGUGAACACACAAACACACAGUACCAUAAACAAACUUUUGGCUGUUAUAGCUGACAUUUCCUCCAUAGUGCUCUCCUGAGAUAUGUGCAUUAUUAGGACCAUGAAAAAUAUUUUUCUAAUCCCCUGCUCUAGCUUAUCAAGAGGAGGUCACCAAGCACUCCUACAGUUUGUCAUUUAACUAAAUCCAAACUAACACUUGACAGAACUGACUGGAACCCUUGGCUUUCCUCAACAUGAAGUCAAGACAGCUAUUCUCCAGUGGAGUGAAUCUUCAAGUGCAAAGACUGAGUUAAAAUGUGCUAAUAUAGUUUAUACUUAAAGUCAUUUGAGACACAGUAUAAACAUGCAGCAAAGCUAUUGUGGCAAGAUAGAUUAAGAAUAACAUGAGGUUACUUACAAAUCCACAUACAUAUGCAUGUCUAGAAACACUAAGUGCAGACAAAUACAGAAACACUACAAAAUAAGCAAAAAAUUCAGCAUGAUAAUUUAUUGACUAUAGGUUUCACAACAUUUGUUAAUUAAUUUUUUAUGUUAAUGGCUGGAAAGAAGCUCCUGGUUUGUUACUUAAAUAUUUGAUUUUUACAUAGACAAUAGUACCCCAGACUUGAGCAGUACAUAGUUUAUGAAUGAAUAACUCUGGCGUCUUCCCUGUCAGACUAUUCAUAAAGGGUCCAUAUCAGAGUUCAAGGACUCUUGAAACUCCAUCCUUCAGUGUGUGCUGGUACCGUGGCUUUGAAGCAUAGAGUAUGAACAGGUAGUACCCUCAGAGUACAAGUCAUUUUCCUGAAGAAGUAGGUGGAAGAGGACAUAUGGGGCAGACAGAACCUCCACCAUGCUGUGGCACAGACAGGAGUGCAUAUUUUCAUCAGAGGUAAGUGGAUUCAGGCAUAGCUUCCAUGUCAACCAUGGAAGAGCAGACUAUGGGAAGCACCAGUGAGAGAUGGCCAAUGGUGUGAAGGCAAGAACAACACCAUCUAACUGAGGUGGUCUGGGACCUUCAGCUCCAACUCCCUCUCACACUUCACUUCCUCAAGUAGACCUCCACAUGAACAUCCUGAAUCACACACACACACAAAAAAAAUUUCCUUGCCUGUCAGUCUUGUCCAGUAAGCACAAAGAUUCUACCUCUCUCUAUAACCCCAAGAAAUAGCCACCCUAAAACACUGCCAUUCUGUCAUGAGUUAUGUCAUGUCAUGUCAUGUCAUGUCAUGUCAUGUCAUGUCAUGUCAUGAGGAAUGAAGUCAUACUCUGCUGGGCUCUAGUCUGUAGAGAAGUCUAAAAACAAUGAUGGAACAAAUACAGGUUAGUUUCUUGCUAAGUGUCUUCCAGGGAGUACUGUCAACAUUCCUACUUGUGGUUUCUUAAAAAGUUGGAUGUGCAGCUGUCUUAUGAUAUUUUUUUAAGUUUCACACAAUGACUGGAUCCUCCAUGUCAUUCAUAAAUCUUUUUUCCCAAAGGUAUUGCUAUUUGAAGCGGGAAGGUAAUGAUAACAAUGGAUGAAUACACUAAUGUGUUCAGGAAGCUGAUAAGUGCCUGUUACUGACUCUGAAUCAGCAAGAGAGUGGCCGGCCAGAGUCAUACUGCUCAGAAAGGCUAAUCUCAUUUUUAAAAAGUGUUUUGGUUUUGCAGCGCAAGAGAAAAACACAGGAAAUGAAAUUUUGACCCUUAGGGGAACAUCUAUGGUCAAGAGAAAUAUAAUUUCAGGACAGGAGUUAAACCUGGUGUUAUUUUUAC
rnacentral:lncRNA from 1 species